rnacentral:rRNA from 1 species
UACAGAGGGUGCGAGCGUUAAUCGGAAUUACUGGGCGUAAAGCGUGCGUAGACGGUUAUUUAAGUCGGGUGUGAAAGCCCCGGGCUCAACCUGGGAAUUGCAUUCGAGACUGAAUAGCUAGGGUACGGUAGAGGGAAGCGGAAUUUCCGGUGUAGCGGUGAAAUGCGUAGAUAUCGGAAGGAACAUCAGUGGCGAAAGCGGCUUCCUGGACCAGUACCGACGUUCAGGCACGAAAGCGUGGGGAGCAA